rnacentral:rRNA from 1 species
AUGCCUAAUUAUGUUCCUAUUAGGGUUUACAUCCAAAUGGUGGAGCAUACUUGCAGCAUGUUCAUGACAUUGUCUUGCACAAAUCAUUCUGAUGCUUGUGCAUUAUUCUGGACUCAUGACACUAUUUACAAUGAUGAAAAAAUUUCCCACUACAGAGAGCAGCAUCCUCGCCUCCCUGAGCGUAUGGUUGUACCCAACAUGUGCAGAAACACAGUACAGUUUCACGCUGCAGCUUCAGGCCCACCAACUGACAACAAAGUGUUGGGAUCACGGAACUCUGGUGCAGCUACAGCUACUAAAAAUCAGUUUGGAAUCAACAACAAUUCCUUGAUACCAUAUGAUGUUACAGGUACAACGCGAUCAUGCAACCCACCUCUUUUUGCACUCCAUGGAGUUCCCAGGUUUCAUCCUUGCCAUUUCAUGUGGUACAGUGAGUGCUUCCUAAGUGGGAUGAUGGAAUCUUGA